CAACAACUACAACACCAGAAUCGACAGCUUCACCAUCAUCAUCACCAUCAACAUCAGAAGAAAGCACCGCAAUAGCACCAUCUACAACAGUAACAGCAUCUUCAACCACUUUAGCCUCAACAAGAGAAACAACAGGAUACGGGACAUCUUCUGGAACCUUGGAAGGAAGAACUUCAACAGAGGCCAUCAGUAGUGUGGCC